rnacentral:tRNA from 1 species
GCUAAAUUGGCAGAUAAAGUGCGAUGGAUUUAGGUUCUAUUUAUAUGAAAACAUUUCAUAUUUAGCU